CGGAACGUGCCCAAUCGUGGGGGAUAACGCAGCGAAAGCUGUGCUAAUACCGCAUACGAUCUACGGAUGAAAGCAGGGGACCGCAAGGCCUUGCGCGAGUGGAGCGGCCGAUGGCAGAUUAGGUAGUUGGUGGGGUAAAGGCUCACCAAGCCAACGAUCUGUAGCUGGUCUGAGAGGACGACCAGCCACACUGGGACUGAGACACGGCCCAGACUCCUACGGGAGGCAGCAGUGGGGAAUUUUGGACAAUGGGCGAAAGCCUGAUCCAGCAAUGCCGCGUGCAGGAUGAAGGCCUUCGGGUUGUAAACUGCUUUUGUACGGAACGAAACGGCCUUUUCUAAUAAAGAGGGCUAAUGACGGUACCGUAAGAAUAAGCACCGGCUAACUACGUGCCAGCAGCCGCGGUAAUACGUAGGGUGCAAGCGUUAAUCGGAAUUACUGGGCGUAAAGCGUGCGCAGGCGGUUAUGUAAGACAGUUGUGAAAUCCCCGGGCUCAACCUGGGAAUUGCAUCUGUGACUGCAUAGCUAGAGUACGGUAGAGGGGGAUGGAAUUCCGCGU
rnacentral:rRNA from 1 species